GACGAACGCUGGCGGCGUGCUUAACACAUGCAAGUCGAGCGGAAAGGCCCUGCUUUUGUGGGGUGCUCGAGUGGCGAACGGGUGAGUAACACGUGAGUAACCUGCCCUUGACUUUGGGAUAACUUCAGGAAACUGGGGCUAAUACCGGAUAGGAGCUCCUGCUGCAUGGUGGGGGUUGGAAAGUUUCGGCGGUUGGGGCUGGACUCGCGGCUUAUCAGCUUGGUGGUGGGGUAGUGGCUUACCAAGGCUUUGACGGGUAGCCGGCCUGAGAGGGUGACCAGCCACAUUGCGCCUAAGGUACGGCCCAGACUCGUACGGGAGGCAGCAGUGGAAAGUAUUGCACAGUGAGCGGGAGCCUGAUGCGGAGGCGCCGCGUGCGGGAUGACGGCCUUCGGGUUGUGAACCGCUUUCGCCUGUGACGAGGCGUGAGUGACGGUAAUGGGUAAAGAAGCACCGGCUAACUACGUG
rnacentral:rRNA from 1 species